rnacentral:rRNA from 1 species
GAUCGACUGGAUGAUGAUCUUGCUCUAAUGAAGUAAGCGGCGGACGGGUGAGUAACACGUGGUGUAACCUGUCCCAUGAAGACUGGUGAUAACUCCGUGGACAACGGGGCUAAUACCGGAUAACAUUUUGCACUGCAUGGUGCGAAAUUGAAAGGCGGCUUCGGCUGUCACUUAUGGAUGGACCCGCGUCGCAUAAGCUAGUUGGUGAGGUAACGGCUCACCAAUGCAACGAUGCGUAUCCGACCUGAUAGGGUGAUCGGCCUCUCUGGGCAUGAUACACUGUCCAUACUCCUACGGGAGGCAUCAGUAUGGAAUCUUCCGCAAUGGACGAAUGUCUGACGGAGCAUCGCCGCGUGAGUGAUGAAUGCUUUCGGGUCGUAAAACUCUGUUGUUAUGGAAGAACAUGUGCUAUUUGAAUAAUCUGGCACCUUGACGGUACCUAACCAGAAAGCCACGGCUAACUACGUGCCAGCAGCCGCGGUAAU